UACGUAGGGGGCAAGCGUUGUCCGGAAUCAUUGGGCGUAAAGAGCUCGUAGGCGGUUCGAUAAGUCGGACGUGAAAUCUCCACGCUCAACGUGGAGGGGCCGUUCGAUACUGUCGUGACUCGAGUCCGGUAGGGGAGUGUGGAAUUCCCGGUGUAGCGGUGAAAUGCGCAGAGAUCAGGAGGAACACCGGUGGCGAAGGCGGGUCUCUGGGCCGAUACUGACGCUGAGGAGCGAAAGCGUGGGGAGCGAACAGG
rnacentral:rRNA from 1 species